AUGAGCAAGGCCCUGUCUACUUGGAAAAGCAAUGUGAAGAGAAUGAUCGAGAAAGGUGAGAGUUAUGAGAAGAUCAAGGAGAAAAAUCCUUCGAUCACCGAAGAUGACUACAACGACUUCAAGAUCAAUUGCUCGAGCACCGCAAGUUCCCAAUCAAGUGAGUGGGGGAAACAAAUGCGGGAGCUGAACAUAGGGGAACACACACUCGGUCCCGGCGGUUACAGAGUGGCGGAGCCUAUAUGGGACAAGGAGGAGGCAGACCGUGCCGAGCAAGGCCUACCGCCCCUCUUCGAUAAAUACGGUGACAAGCAGACCAGGAACUUUUUCAGGGCCCGGUACAAGAAGGACCCGAAAACAAAGGAGCUUACCACGGAUCCGAAGACCAGGCAGCUUGAGCUUGUUCUGGCGACUGAAAGCAGUAGCGCGGGGUCGACUCAGAGCAACCCUUGGGACACCACUCUAAAUAGGGGGUUGAAUAUAAUGAAGAACAAGGAUAAGCUCAGUAAGCCGACGUCAGCUGGUCGUGUGGCCGGCAAAGGCUUGUCGACAAAAUGGGGGUCAUACUAUACCGCUGGUGUGCGGAAGGAGAAAAAGACCAGCUCGGAAAGCCAGGCGCGAGAGGUUCAAGAACUCAAGGCACAGGUGGCGCGGAUUCCGGAGAUUGUCCAAGAGCAAGUGGAACAACGACUCGGAGCGACGAUCACCGCCCUUGUGCCUACCUUGAUCUCGGGGUUGAGUGCGUGGAUUGCGGGCGGCCAACAGGGGCCGCCCCCGAUUCCUAGCUUCACGGCCAGCAACUCGCAUAAUGCGAUGGCGGGGCCAUUGGUGCCUCCGGCGGAGGCGGCAUUGGUGUCUCCGACGCCGGCACGGGAGCUUAAUGCACCCGGGUGUACGCCGGCCGGCACCUCUUCAGCAAGCGGCCGCUCCGUCAACUGCACGCCCGCCGUUGGCGGUGCCUCGACAUUAGCCAAGCUCGACACCAUCAUCACGGUAACUAAUUAA
rnacentral:rRNA from 1 species